CCAUCGCUUUGGUUCCCAGGCCAUGGCCAAGGUCUCGUGAGGUUCGCGUGACCUUUGAGACUUUGGCCAUGGCCAUGGUGGCCAUGGCAUGUUG
rnacentral:pre_miRNA from 1 species